rnacentral:lncRNA from 1 species
AAAUUUGUGUGUUAGAAAAUUGAAAAACAAAUUGUAUAGGCUUUUUUUUAAGUCAUGACCGGACAAGGAAAAUGAUUCUAAUAAAGAAGUUGUCUGAUAAAGCAUACUGUAUGUGUAUACAUUGUGUUUUUCUGUGAUUUCAUAUAAUUUCAUUCCUUUUAAGAUUCCAAAAUCAAAGACUACUUUUAUGUUUUAUUGUUUUUUUAUUCAAAUAUUUUUGUUAAUUUUUUAUAUUUUUGUCAAUUUAUUGUAUAUUAUGUAAGCAAGUUGUAUUUAUUUAUUUGAAAUGUACUUUUUCAAAAGUUCAGAUUAAAUCUCUGAAAAAAGGGCAAAAAAAAGAAAUUUUCAUAGCUGACAACUGAUAUCCUGUUCGAGGUCAACCCCCUUCAUGCACCAUUUAUCAUGUACAUCAAUGCAAACAUUUAUUUGCUGAAUUAACAUCAAAGAAAUUUAAGUUACUUUAUGGCAUCAUAAUACAUAAAAAGCUUUAUUUAAGAUUAAAUUAAAAUUUUAAUAGACAAAACUUAAUAUAACUCAUAAAACUCUUUUUCUGACAUGGUAAAAAAUUUUGAAUUUUUAUAGAAGACAAUGGAAAGAGAUGUUUCGUAUUAUUCAAUUACUCAUUUAAUUUCUUUUUUUAUACCAGCAUGCAUCAUUGAACAGGUUGACAGCUAUGAUAUUGAAAAAAUAAUUAAAUAAAAAACGUUUUUUUAGUGUUUUAUCUCAUUAUAAUUUUUGUGAAAGUACAGAUAGUAAAAAUCC